GGUUGCUUUAAUCUGUUCCCAGCGGCACCGUGAGUUCUUCAAACAGCCCUGUGUGAGCCACUGGGUGAUGGACAGGAAAGAUGUUGGUCUAGAGACUGGGACCCCAGGUACCCGAGAUGCCCUUGUCCAUAACUCUGGCUCUUAGGACCCAGCAGGUGAUUUCUGCAUCCCAUGUUUUGUCUCUCUGGAAUCAUCCUCCAGGGGAACACACACUCCCCCACCAGUGUGAAGAGAGGUCUGGGCAUCAGCCUGGGAGCGGAGCAAUUACUGAGCACCUACUCUGGGAGCAUCAACGAUGUGUUGGGUGCUGUCCAAGGACAAGUCACAACUAUCCAGAAGGAACUGAGUGCUGAUCAGGAGGUUGUAUUGGAGAUUGUACAAAGAACCAGGAUGUCCGGUAAAAGAUGGUUAAAAACCGCAGGAAGUCUUCACCUGAGAGCAUCUCAGCUCAGAGGAAAGCAGCACCUGACCUGCCAGCCAACACCAGACACUUACUGGUCAGGAUUAAAAAGAAGAUUUCUGAUGCUUAGAAGCAUCAGGCGAACUCACCAAGGGCACGGAGUGGGCUGAAACCCAGGUGGGCUGGUUCCCAGCUUUCCCCACUCAGGAGGAGAGGGAGUUCCACUCUGGGGGGACCAGACUCCUUCUGUCCCAGGCGCUCAUGCUCUAGUGAGAAGAUAAGCCACUGACCUGGAGACUCUAGAUCAAGGUCUUUGCUUCUGACCCCACAGUGGCCUCUACCUCAUGGGUCUGGCUUCCUCAAGACCUUCCACCAGCCUGCUCAGAGCCCCACUUACUUGAGUCUCCUCCAUGGUCAUUCCUAUACGCUCCUCCCCACUCCAGCUGCCCCAGUGUCUCAAGGCCAGGGGGACAAACAGAGUGAACCCUCUUCUGUGUGGCAGGUCCAGUCCCUACAGAUAAGGGAGAGGAGACCAGACAGGGCUUCUUUAUCUCUGAUAGGUUGUUACGCCUUUUCCCAGAUUGAUUCUGAAGAUUCACCUCCCAACUGCUAAGAACUAGCUCUUCCUUUUCUGCAACUCCUUUCUCAUUUCCUUAGACUAGGAGACAGGCACCAUGAGGUGGGGGACGGGGGGCUACUGUGAUUUCUUCCACGCAGUGUCUAGCACAGAGUAGACAGCAAAUAAUGAAUGAAUGAAUGGGUUCAGAAUUAGACUCAGCCUUUCAUGUUAAAGACAGAAGAGGAAAGAGACGUGGACCAAAAUGUGGAAGGGCUCAGAACCUCUUAUUCCCUGGCUGCUGUCCCAAUGAUGCGUUAGUCUUCUUGAAUGUAAAUCCCGGGGGCUGUCAUGACAUUAGCCCCUCCUGCAAUGCUCCAGAGGGAAGCAGAAAACAUUCUCACUCAUUUUAUCACAUGCAGCCUCUGGAACUGGGAGCCCCAGUGAUUCCUUUGCCUUCUGGAGCCAGCCCAGUCAGUUAACACUAGUCUAGGCCCAGGAGAUGCUGGGACAAGCUGAGGAUUUCCUUUAGAGUUAUGCUUUCAGGGCAAGAUUUUUAGUAGCUCAUUCCUCUUCCCUACCAGAUGGUGAAGCACGUGGAAGAUAAAAGUCUUUUACUAGCAUUUUCUCAGCCAUGCAUCCUGCAGUGGGGUGAGCCCCACGUGCCUUUCUCCCUCUCCCUCACCAUGUGUGCUCUGCUGAACUGGGGGAGGUGGGAGACUGCUGUGAAGGAUGGAAGCAACAACACCCACAGAGCACUUUCCAGUAACUCUGUUAUCUCAUAGCACUCUCAUGAAGGACUGGUGAGGUGUUGAUCUAUUUCACAGAUGAGCAAAGUGAGGCUCUGAUGGGCUAACAUACCCAAGGUCCCCGAACUACUGAGUGUCGGGGUCAGGAUUUGGACCCAGGCUCUCUGAUUCCAGAGACUGGGGCUGGAGGUGGGGGAGACCAUCUGGAAAGCAAAUGGAGCCUGGUCAUGGCUCUUGAGUCUUCAGACUUUGCCCUCUUGGAUAAAGAAUACUUGAAAGAACAUCUUGCUUGAAAUGACGCCCAAUAAGUCUCUCCUCUAAUUAAGACACUGUGACUCUACAAGUGAAUUAAAACACACACGUUUUUCUUGGAAAGAGUGUAAGUGUCAACCCAAAGGCCCAUCAGACUUAUUAGCAAACACCAGGCUGUUCGAUCAGCUUGCUGUCACCCCGAAAGCAGAAAGCACCCCUCAGGGGCUGGGUCUUUAGGGCAGGUGCCAUUUGAAGGAGGUGCAGGGCUGACAGAAAGGUUACAAUAUUCAGUGGUGUUAGCAGUAACAGCACAUCCAAGAUCAAGGUGGCGAUAUUCCCUCUGCGUUCCUUCCGAGUCACACCACACCUGGGUUAUGAGUUCAGUUCUAAGCACGACCUUCAAAAUAGGAGGCUGAAAAACAGAAACAGAGGGGACCAGAGGCGCAUAGAGGGACCCUCAACCAUUCCCACCAAGGAUGAAUUAAAAGAAUAGAGGAUAUUUUACCCAAGAAGAGAAGACUGAGGGUGAAAUGGAAGUUGUGGCAAGUAACUGAGCCCCGCUCCCCCGUUGUUAACAACUAUGUGAGGGCGACAUCUUGCAUGUGGAUCCUUCAGCCCAAGUCCAGCCUUCAGAUGACCGCCACUCUGGAUGACAGCUUGACCGUAACCUUUGAGAAACCCUGAGCCUGAACCACCCAGCUAUGCCCAGGAGUGGGGCUGUUGAAUCAUAGUGUUAAG